GGGCUGGACCUCUCGGGGUUACAGCCUUGCUGAAUUAUUCACCCUUGUCUUUUGCGUACUUCUUGUUUCCUUGGUGGGUUCGCCCACCACUAGGACAAACAUAAACCUUUUGUAAUUGCAAUCAGCGUCAGUAACAAAUUAAUAAUUACAACUUUCAACAACGGAUCUCUUGGUUCUGGCAUCGAUGAAGAACGCAGCGAAAUGCGAUAAGUAGUGUGAAUUGCAGAAUUCAGUGAAUCAUCGAAUCUUUGAACGCACAUUGCGCCCUUUGGUAUUCCAAAGGGCAUGCCUGUUCGAGCGUCAUUUGUACCCUCAAGCUUUGCUUGGUGUUGGGCGUCUUGUCUCUAGCUUUGCUGGAGACUCGCCUUAAAGUAAUUGGCAGCCGGCCUACUGGUUUCGGAGCGCAGCACAAGUCGCACUCUCUAUCAGCAAAGGUCUAGCAUCCAUUAAGCCUUUUUUUCAACUUUUGACCUCGGAUCAGGUAGGGAUACCCGCUGAACUUAAGCAUAUCAUA
rnacentral:rRNA from 1 species